GACCAUCAAUUUCAACUUGCCAAUUGCAGAGAAUAAAUAACAUACAUCUUCAAAGUAUAAUAAUCUGGUAUCUUAUCUUUUUAGAUGGAAGUACAGAGACAACACCACAUUUAUACAUAGGCACAGCCAACAAUAGUUCAAUCCGACUGGGACUACCAUCCAAAACUGCUUAUCGCAAAAGAUAUACACUAUUUGCAAACGUGUCACACACAAUAAAAGAUUUGAUCCACAUUAUAAUACAUUGUUAUUGUUAUUUAACACAUACUUAACAAUGUCAUAGGCAUGACACCAAAGCCAGAAAUGCCUAGUGUUGACCACCGGAAAACUUCUCCUUUAUCGUUUCAAUUUUAUUUCUUUCUUCUCAUAAAGCCGCUUUUCUGGCUAUAGCUGUUCCAUAUCCUAUAAUAAUACCAUAUGAUCCUCUAGUACAUGGAUUAGUAGUUUGAGUAUGCUCCUUCCUACUUGUGCCCGCCUGACAACUUCUCAUUUAUCUUCUCCUUGAUUCCCUUCUUCCACUUUUCUCUAUUCCAUCAUUCCCAGAAGAGAUGGAGCUGGAACUACCUCAGCUGAGUGGUGAAGCUGUGACUGGCCAUGGGUACCAGUGGACAGGCCCACACCAUGCACCAAUUGUAGCACCAGUGCCAUGCAUGCCAGUUGCAACCUGCACCAGAAUCGGUUAGUCUACUCUUCUAUCCUUGAUAUCCUCCUUCAUUGUGGUUUACCAUUAUAGAACUUCUCAACAAUUGAUUCACGAUUGAAAUUUAAUAGAGACGUUGAUGAAGAAUUUCGAUAUCAGUGCUUCAAGAUAAAUAUCUCUUACAAAAUCAAAUCAAAUUAAGAAUUAAUUAAUUCACUCACAACAGCUACUCUCAACACUUCUGAUUAUCAGUUGUCGAAGUCCAUCAGUACCAAGUUACUCUCAGUUGUAGAGAUAAUUAAAUCUGAAUGAUCAAAUCUACAUAAGCAUUCAAAAUGAAUUUCAUGACUGAAUAUGCAAACUCUAACUAAUUACAAAUAUAAGAGUUAUAGUGUAUUACAAUUAAACAAAUAAAACAAACCACUGAUCAUGUGAGGAAUUUCGCGAUUAUAUUUCAUAAAUUUACCUCUGAUACAGAUGUAUUUUGCAAGCUCAAGUCCCAAUUCCUCCUGCCUGUCAUCCUAAAAGAUUGAAAAACCACAUAUGAGACAGAUACAUGUACAUGAAAGUAACGAAGCAGCCACGCACAUUGAAAUCAAUAAACUAUUCAUUCCAAAUGAGCACAAUAAAAUCGAUAAAAUAUUCACUCCAAGUCAACCAAGCUAAAUAAAAAAAUGCAGAACUCCUAACCUAUACUAUAGCUCCAAAAUUACAAACGACAAAUUAAGAAGAAAGAUCAAUCCAAAUAACUAUUUUUACUCUUAACUCACAUUAGCAUUCCGCCGUGUCUGGCCGUAAAAAUAAAAAUGAUAAAUAAAUGUCAAUUCAAAUGAUGAAGAUGGGAAUGAUAACAGAGACUGAAAAUAGUAUUAGUAGCAUAUCUAGAGUGGUGGAAAUCAACAUCUUGUAAAUGAACCCACUAAGGAAUGAAAGCAUCGCAAACAGUACUUUUAAGCAUGGCUUUGUUAUCAUCCUGUAAUAAAUCCAACAGUAAGCGAAGCAUACACCAACACAAACAUAUAAAAAUAGUUGCAUACAAAAUCAGACAGUUUAUAUCGAUAAAGAACCGAUUGCAAUUGUAAUUAGAUACAAAAUAAGCAAUAGCAUUACUCUAAAAUAUUAAUUGUUAAAUAUUUUGUUAAAUAAUACAAUGUUUUUGGGCUAAUACACAUCUUAAUUUAAGAAUGCAUUAAAGAUACAUCC
rnacentral:lncRNA from 1 species